CGAUUUGCUGGUAACUGGGGGCGUAAAGGGGCGUGAUCAGCCAAUCACGAUUUGGAGAGUAACCUGGUUUCCAGAACCCAAAGUUUCGGCCUCCGUAAUUCCUGCAAUAUUUGCGAAUUGGCAUGUGGCCGCCUUCCUCGUUCUGCUCGGUUCCUAAAGACUGGCAAUGGGGGCUGCCAAAGAGAUACUUGGAGGACUGUGGCACAUCCCUCCAUGGAAGCACAAAACUAUGAG